rnacentral:rRNA from 1 species
GAUGAACGCUAGCGGCAGGCUUAAUACAUGCAAGUCGUACGGGAUCCGAGGUAGCAAUACUUUGGUGAGAGUGGCGCACGGGUGCGUAACACGUAUGCAACCUACCUAUAACCGGGACACAACCUCGAGAAAUUGAGGCUAAUAUCCCAUAACACUGCGAGAUGGCAUCAUUUUGCAGUUAAAACUCCGGUGGUUAUAGAUGGGCAUGCGCGACAUUAGCUAGUUGGUGAGGUAACGGCCCACCAAGGCUACGAUGUCUAGGGGUUCUGAGAGGAUUAUCCCCCACACUGGUACUGAGACACGGACCAGACUCCUACGGGAGGCAGCAGUGAGGAAUAUUGGUCAAUGGGCGGAAGCCUGAACCAGCCAUGCCGCGUGCAGGAUGACGGCCCUACGGGUUGUAAACUGCUUUUCCCCGGGGCGAAUAACCCCCUCGCGAGGGGGGAUGCCGGUACCGGGGGAAUAAGGAUCGGCUAACUCCGUG